CCCAUGGCUCAGAUUGAACGCUGGCGGCAGGCCUAACACAUGCAAGUCGAGCGGAUGACAGGAGCUUGCUCCUGAAUUCAGCGGCGGACGGGUGAGUAAUGCCUAGGAAUCUGCCUGGUAGUGGGGGACAACGUUUCGAAAGGAACGCUAAUACCGCAUACGUCCUACGGGAGAAAGCAGGGGACCUUCGGGCCUUGCGCUAUCAGAUGAGCCUAGGUCGGAUUAGCUAGUUGGUGAGGUAAUGGCUCACCAAGGCGACGAUCCGUAACUGGUCUGAGAGGAUGAUCAGUCACACUGGAACUGAGACACGGUCCAGACUCCUACGGGAGGCAGCAGUGGGGAAUAUUGGACAAUGGGCGAAAGCCUGAUCCAGCCAUGCCGCGUGUGUGAAGAAGGUCUUCGGAUUGUAAAGCACUUUAAGUUGGGAGGAAGGGCAUUAACCUAAUACGUUAGUGUUUUGACGUUACCGACAGAAUAAGCACCGGC
rnacentral:rRNA from 1 species